rnacentral:ncRNA from 1 species
CAUCGAGACCGGCAGAGGGACAGGCCCUUUGAAGCCGGGGCAGCCCGCAGAUGCGAAAGCGUCUGCGUAGGUGCCAAAUCCUGCGGGGACCGUGGCGUCCACCGAAAGAU